UUUAUACCCACAGGUUACCCAUGUUUUAUCCAAUUCCUAUAUACUAAACUACCUAUGUUACUUAUCCUGCGUGACCCGUUUACAACCUCUUAACCGGCUAGAUAACCAACUGAUACAGUACCUUGCCAACUUGCCUUCUUCGCGGCUAUUAAUUCCCGAUUGAUUGUGUUGAUCGCUAAAUACAGAUUUCUUCUCUUCCAUUAUGGAAGAGAAGAAAUCCAUAUUGAGGCUGAGGAAGGCAACAUCCAUAUUCGAUCAGGAAUCUUUUAGCAGAGCUAUCAUCCAGCCAUGGAUUAAGGCUUUGGUUAGUUUGAGUGUUCUGUUCUCGCCCAAGAAUCCCACUGGGAGGCCUUUGCAGUCUUUGUGUGCUGCUUUUGGGGAUCAUUACUACAUGUGCAGGUUUCAGAAAACAUAUAUAUGAAGAUUCCGCAAUGAUCUACCAGAUCCGACAGAACAACGAAAGCUUAUGACACUGAAAAGAGAUAAAGAUUGCUUAUUGAGAUCUCAGUUAUACGGUGAGUCGAUGACACCACUUAUGUAAAUAUAAUGCAAGUGAAGGUGGCCAUGAGCAACGAGUUAAUUAGAAGAAUGAUUGUAAGCAGUUGCUGAGCCAACCCUUUGACACUUUUUUUUGUGUUUUGGUCCCCAAUGCUCCAAAGACUUUUUUUCAAAUGAUUUUGGAAGUUAAACCUGGCAAAACUGCAAGCAAAAAUAACCUUUAUAGUAGAAAUUGAUGGCUCAGAACAGAGAUAUAGAUAUAGAUCAAUAACAGAUAUUACACUUCAUCAUCACAAGGAAUAAGAGAUAUUUUUUUUGAUUGCUUAUUGAGAUCUCAGUUAUACGGUGAGUCGAUGACACCACUUAUGUAAAUAUAAUGCAAGUGAAGGUGGCCAUGAGCAACGAGUUAAUUAGAAGAAUGAUUGUAAGCAGUUGCUGAGCCAACCCUUUGACACUUUUUUUUGUGUUUUGGUCCCCAAUGCUCCAAAGACUUUUUUUCAAAUGAUUUUGGAAGUUAAACCUGGCAAAACUGCAAGCAAAAAUAACCUUUAUAGUAGCAGUUGUGCGAGCUGUGGAUCUGCUUGCAAAAGUCUAAGGGUAUAUUGUUUGUGUCCCUUUUAUUAGAAAUGCAGCAAAAGUAUCUAGGACAAAUAUAACUACUUUCAAAGCUUAUUUCUCUCGACCCGGAAUCAGAUGAUUGCUAAUUCUUGAUUGUCGUCGAUGAUCGAACAGGGAGGACGAACUCUGCUGGGUUCAGUCUUGCCGUCAUCUUCAAAACACGGGUUAUCACAUAGUUUGUGAUUUGAUAAUCAUCUGCUUACAGACCUUUGAAUGAAACACAAAGGAGGGUUCCCUGGUUCUGGCAUUACUCAGAGUGAUGAAAUCAAGAGCUCAUCUCAAACACAAGUGUAACUUCCCUUCGAGAGCUCCUCUGUCAAAGUUUCUCAAGGAACCGACACUCCGAGAACUGUUAAAUCUACUUCCAAGAGCAUUAAAUUGGUUUAACAGAGUUGAUGCUCCAAGUCUGCUGUGCAUGACCAAUCCAUGCUCAAACUAGAUACAGAGGUCAUCAUCAGAUUCUCAUUGUUUUCUUUUUCCUUCCCAUUCGUAUUUUCAAACUAUUAGCAGUGGAUUUUAGUUAAGAUGGUUGUGUUUUUCUGAACCAUAUUUAGUGAUUCGAAUUAUUUUUAUAUUCAUAAUGGAUGGCUUCCGUUUGCUUGAUGUUGUUUGCUUUUGCAUAGUUAUCAAAUUUUGAUAAUAGUGCAGCAAUUGCUUCAAAAUAGGAUGAUAUUACCAGUAGCCAAUAAUAAGCUAAAAAAAUUAAAAACCCUAUUACAGAAAGACUAUUGUUAGAAGUUCCAGAUUUAAAUUCAAAGUGUUAUUUUAAAGUUCCAGGUGAUCAUAAAAAGACUAUUAUAUCUAACGUCCUGCUGUUAGAAGCCUUUGUUUCUUUAUAUUAUCAUUCAGCAUGUUAGAGGAAUUUAAAUGCUAUAAGAGCUCUUGGAAAUCUGUCCAGAAUUUGUUGCAACUAUUAUGUUAUUUCUCCUUAAUUCUCAUUUCACGAUAUAUUUAAUUUAUUGGAAUGUAUCAGUCAGCUUGCACAACUCCAAGAAAAUCUUUCUUAUGUUAGCUUUCCGUUAAAGUUUUUAGUCAGUGAAAUGUAAAACUUAUUGUAGAUGGAUUGGGCUCUGUAGACAAUACAAUAUAAUCCAGCCAGAGAUUGAAGUUUAGGCUGUUGAGCAUCCGGCCUCUGGACAUGAUACAUGACAGCUACUCUGCAAAAUUUUAGAAACUUUUAUAAACAUGUUGUACUCCAAUCUUAGGUUUCCUACCUGAUUCUCAUCCAAAUUGUGAGCAUGCUUUAUUGUGGAAUUUGUUGCUAAGCUCCUGUUUCACUACCACAAUAGAGUUAAUUAAUUUCUCGAAAAUUAUCUCUGUUUUUAUUUGUCGUUCCUUUUUAUCUGGGUUUCUCUUCGUUAAAUGUAAAUAUGCGGUAUGCCUCAGAUGCAGUUUAUCGUAAAAAAAAAUGUAGUGCAAUUCUUAACGGUAAAUUUGAUGAGGAAAUAUGGCUAGAAGACUGAGAACUAAUCAAGUCAUUAACAGUAAAUUUUAUCCUAUCAUAUAUUGCCACAUUGACACAAGAGAAGCUAGAGUCAUUAACUUAAUGUGAAUAAACCUUCAUUUCUGUAGUGCAAUUCUUGAGACUUUUUCCGUAUAACAAAUGGAGAAUGGUUCCUCUAAACCACAAGUUUCUUCCAAGAAAUUAAUUAUAUUUUUGCAGAUUGGCACUUGCAAAUAAUUAUUCAAGGCAGUACUGGUCAGUUAUCUUUUCCGAAUGUUGUAUAUUUAACUGGAACGGCUACAGAAUUAGUAUAAUUUUCGUUAUAUAACAAAUCUUUUUCGAAAUUAUACUCCCAUAUGAAAUCAUUAUACCAAAACAAUUAUUUGGCUAUAUUAGAUUUCACCUUUUCAUUUACGCAUGGGUAAAUAAAUGUACCCAACUCCCAAAUUUUAUCUUAUAUGUUUAUGUUGAGGCAUUCUGUUUGCUCUGUACAAUGCCAUUUUACUCGAGGUCAAAAUUAUAUUUUAAUUAAUUUGCAUGAGUGUUCUUAUACGAGCUCGCAUACUAAUGGGUAGAUAUGGUUAUGCAUCUCCUGAGUAAAUAGUUAUGGGUAGUGAUUGACUCAAGUACAUAUGUCUGUUUUGCUUCUUGCAGAAACUUAUAGAUCUUUACUUCUUUUUUUUUUUUAAAUAUAUCGUCUAUGUUUAUGUUGAGGCAGUCUAUUUGCUCUGGACAAUGCCAUUUUACUCAAGUCAAAUUUAUAUUUUAAUUGCUUGAGUGUUCUUAUACAAGCUCACAUACUAAUUGAUUAGAUCUUAUGUCUUCUAUCAAGGUGCUAUCAACCAGUAUUGAAUUUCUUGAAUUAACCCUAUGCUAUGCAUAAGCUUCUAUGUUUUCCCCCUGUGUGGUCUGUAGCAUAUAAUAAUUGACUUGCAGUAAAAUAAGUAAAGGAAACCUUGGUUUUAAUAUUGUAUUUUAUCAUUUUCAUUGGUGGCUAUGUGUGUGCACACUCUCUCUCUUUCUAUUUGCCUUUAUUAGCUAGGGGCUUGGAGAAAAGGUCAUCUUUUGGAUCUUCAUUUGUGAGAAAUGCUUUUACUAAGAUCCGACAAGUUUCGCACGAGCUCAAGCAUUUGGCUUCACUCACUAAAAAAUCACAUGCUGGAAACAUUCUCUUUUAUUUAUUGGCAGGGAUGAAUAAGGAGUCUAAAGAAUUUUCAGGAGAGCUUUUUGAUGCACUAACCCGAAGAACAUAACAGGAGAAUUGUUCUUUAUGUAGCAGAGCAGAGCUAAAAGAGUUCCGGGGACCAAAAUUCUGAUCAAAAUUAAAAGUGUUUGUAAGGAACAAAUUUCUAAUCAAAAUUUUGACUCCAGGCUUCGAACAUUUUUUGACAUUGCUGGUGUACAAUUUUACUGCAGGCUUUAUAAAGAUGCAGACGGACGAAUAACAGAGAAAUAAGUCAGAGAGAUUGUCAGCCUCUGCCAACAAAUUAUCGAAUAUCCAAAAAUAAGAAGAUGAAUAUGCAGCACUGAUAGCGGAAGAAUUAGACCCAAACAAUGUUGGUUACAUCAUGGAUGAACGUGAGAUAAAGAGACAUAAGAGGAAUUAAUCUAACCGAGAGUCUGCUUGGAGAUCAAGAUUACGAAAGCAGGAUGCAUCAGACUCUUGGGGUAUUUCUGUAGGCUUUAUCAGCAUCAUAUUGCUACCAAUAGUCGGGGAAUGCAGCAGAACAUACUGGAUCAGUCAUAUUUGCAUUGAAAAACAAGCUGGCACAUGCACAUUCCUGAUAACCACUUUGUUAAUAACCACUUGGUCAUAACCCUGACAAUUUUGGGAUUAAACAGGAUAUAUCUUUGGGUGUCUCUCUCGGGUCUGCUACACAAAUUUCAGCGUUUGUGAUUCCCCUAUGUGAUAUUGUCAGGUGGAUCAUGGGAGUCCCCAUGGAUCUUGAUUUCGGACGCCUCCAAUCUGCUUCCCUUGCUUUUGCAAUUGUUCUGACAUCCUUGACGGAUGGGACCCAGCAUUACUUAAUUGGAGUGGUACUGUGUCUUGCCUAUGUAGUGCUUGCCGCCUGUUUCAAUGUUAGCCACGGUACACGUACAAAACUCUACCACAAUUUAUUAUUAGACUCCGUAGUAGGUCGCGUUAUAAUCCUAAACCAGACGGUCAGUGCUACAUCCCUGCUCAUAAGGUAUCUCAGCCACCAAUUUUUUUUUAAAUUUGGUUUUGAUACAUUAUAAGUGGAAUUCUAUGGCAUACUGAAUAUGAAAAUACCGUAAUUUCUUUAGUGUAGGAAGACCUUAAAUAUAUUGUAUAUAAGUUUUAGGAUUUAGUAUAUAUUUAUGUGCUAUUUUACUUAUCUUUAAACUAGCUCUAUGCUUCAUUUGCAGUGGAUUUUUCUGAUAUCGUAGAUUCUCCAUCAGGACAUGCCACCUUAUAGAAGAGAUAGUAUCAGCUUGAAAUUUUGAGUGCCAAUAACCAGAAUUCACAUCUUUUACCAGUAAUAUCAGUCUGACAACUUCCAUUGCUGAUUUUGCCUCUGCCAAGCUCUAUUCCAAGAAAAAUGCUAUUACAAGACACUACAACAACAUAAUUCACAUACAAUCCUAGACCGUUGUUCUUCAUUUCGUGUACACUGGAAUCCUAGAUAAAAUUGGACAUCAUUGUUCUAUAUAAUAAUAGAAACAAGUUUAGGAUCAAACCAUGAUGUUCAAGAAGGUGAUAUAUCAAACCAUGAUGUUCAAGAAGGUUAUAUAUCAAUAUUACCCAUGUUUUAAGAAUUUUAUAUUAUUUGUUAGAUUUAUGAGUUAUUAAUUCUAAACUUAUAGAAUCACAGCGACGUGGUUAUCGUUAUGCACUCGAUGCCUAUUUGCAUCAACACAUAGUGAAUUUGCAUAAUCAUGGCGCUGGCUACUUAUUCUCCGGAGCUCCUGCCAGAGACGAUCAACGCGUGAAUAAGGAGCAUAACAGACCUUCACAGGUCGGCUAUUUCAUACACAAGGCACGGGCAUGACUUCUGAUCCUGAUGUGAACACAGCAAUUGGAUCCGGAAUUUCUCAGACAUCUAAUUACAAUGCUGAUAUUCAAGAAACCCCGUGGUUCAUGGAAAUUCGAUUUUGUUUCUCCGUUCAUAAAGGACUGGCAGUGGUAUCGAAUAUAACAAGAUGCUUAAUUUGCUAAAAACAUAAAUAGAUAACACCAAUGUCACCGAUUUUGAUAAAAAUGAUCUGUUCCUUUUCUUUUUAAAGUUGACCCAAGGACUGGUGAUGCUGGGAUGGUGAUGUCAUUAAACCAAAGACAUGCUACCACAGUAACGUUGCAAAACACUGCAACUUCUGAGAAAUAUAUUAGUGGAAAAUUCUAUUCAUUCCAAGCGUGGAUGGUGAUAUGGUGGGAUUCUGUGAGCAGGUUAUAUAGCACUUCCAUGUGUUUAUGAGUAUAAUGAUUAUACAAGUACAAUAACUUAGUUAGAUGGGAGUGAUAACAAAAUCUUGGAGCUCAACAUGUUUAGGAGAUACUGACUGUUCCACCGCAAAGCCAGUAAUUUUGUCAAAAAUCAAGUUAGUAGAUUUAAUAAUAUAAAGUUUAGUAUACAGAAAAUUAAAAAUAUUUACUCAGAAUAAAUUAUGAGAGAAAUGAUUUACCAAGAUGAGAAAGAAGCUUCUAAUUUCAUCCUGAUAGACCGUGCGCCAAAGAGAAUGAUAGGCACGACUGCAACAAAAUUGACCGCAAUCUUGCUGAAGAAGAAGACACCAAAUGCGUUUCCAAAGAAAGCUACUGAACUAACCGGGAAAGAAGUACGGCUGCUGAUAGAAAUUAACAAGGACAAUGUGGUAUCCAAAAGCAAGCUGUUUGUUGCUACAGAUGCAUAUGAAUCAGGGGUUUCUUAUUCUGGAAUAUCAUCUACUUCAUUCACCGAAUCAACCAUGAUCCAGGGUUUUUUCUGUUUAUUCAUAAUAUAUUAAAAUUGCUAAUAACUUCUCCGCAUAUGAAGCGCGGGCAUAAUUCCCGUGUAUAACUCCAAAUAAUUAAUUUUUUUGAUGAUGUAAUACCCGUAUAUUACCUUAAUAAAUUAUAAAUUAUUAAA